CACGCCGUAAACGAUGAAUACUAGGUGUGGGGGGUCUGACCCCUUCCGUGCCGGAGUUAACACAAUAAGUAUUCCACCUGGGGAGUACGACCGCAAGGUUGAAACUCAAAGGAAUUGACGGGGGCCCGCACAAGCAGUGGAUUAUGUGGUUUAAUUCGACGCAACGCGAAGAACCUUACCGGGAUUUGACAUCCUACUAACGAAGUAGAGAUACAUUAGGUGCCCUUCGGGGAAAGUAGAGACAGGUGG
rnacentral:rRNA from 1 species